rnacentral:rRNA from 1 species
CCUACGGGAGGCAGCAGUGGGGAAUAUUGGACAAUGGGGGGAACCCUGAUCCAGCCAUGCCGCGUGUGUGAAGAAGGCCCUCGGGUUGUAAAGCACUUUCAGUGAGGAAGAACGCCUGGUGGUUAAUACCCAUCAGGAAAGACAUCACUCACAGAAGAAGCACCGGCUAACUCCGUGCCAGCAGCCGCGGUAAUACGGAGGGUGCGAGCGUUAAUCGGAAUUACUGGGCGUAAAGCGCGCGUAGGUGGCUUGAUAAGCCGGUUGUGAAAGCCCCGGGCUCAACCUGGGAACGGCAUCCGGAACUGUCAAGCUAGAGUGCAGGAGAGGAAGGUAGAAUUCCCGGUGAAGCGGUGAAAUGCGUAGAGAUCGGGAGGAAUACCAGUGGCGAAGGCGGCCUUCUGGACUGACACUGACACUGAGGUGCGAAAGCGUGGGUAGCAAACAGGAUUAGAUACCCGAGUAGUC